GGGUAUAAACGGAGGUCGGAGCCAGCUGCAAAUGGGUGGGUUAGCAGCAAGUGGGUGGAGCUUUACCCGCAAGUGGGCUGUACAAACUUCCAGAGGAUUUUGAUUGGUUUAUUUAUAUCACCUGUAGCAGCUAUUGGUUUAUGCUCCACAGUUGGUGGCGCUAAUGUGUAAGUUUUGUUGCGAUCGAUCAGAAAACAAAGAAGAAACCCGCUUUCACAUGUUAGCGUGUCGUUGAAAUGAAGGUGUAAGCUUGCUUUACAGUUUUUAGUUUUGUAAAAAAGCAUUAUAAUUUCUGAAGAAGACCAUUUUAUAAUGGCGUUUGUACGCUGUUUUUAGUCUUGAUGUAUUAAAAAAGAUAAGGGUAAAGUGUAUCCAGAUACAUUUCUGUAGUUUUUUUAUUAGCACACAAAUUACAAAAUCUGUAACGUGGAUGACAAAAUCUUUUCUGCAUUCCAUUUCUACAAUUUGCUCUCCAGAUUAUGGAUUCUGAAGACCAUAAUAAUAAGGACAAUGCAGGACAAAGGCUGUCAAAUAACUGGAGUGUUUGUCUUGAUGGCAAUAUGCACUGUAUGUUAUUCUGGGACAGAAGUUUGACUUCACUGAACUAAACAUGAAGAACAUAGGAAAAUGGUGGUGUGCCAUCUUGCUUGAAAAUUAAACAUGGGAGAAAGAGAAAAUGAGCUGUUGUAGCUGAAGAAGAAGAAGAAGUAGAAUGCUCUGCACUCCCUGAAACCUAUGGGAAGAAAAAAAACUGAACUUGCAUAUGAAAGUAAGAACUUUGCUAUAAAACAAAAUACAUAUACUUUGCUGGGUUUCAAAUUAUGUAACUAUAAUUCAUUUCAGCAGACCAAACCCCAGUUGUGCCCUCUGUUUUGCAUAAUCAAUUGCAAUGAUGAUUUAAAAUGUGUAUCAUAGAACAAUUUUAAUCCACUUAUAUUUUUCUUUAAGGAUGAACUGUUAAAAGAUGAUGACUGUCCAUCAUGCUUCAUCUUCAAGUUAUCAGGAGCGUUGCUGAAGAACAUACUGCUUGAAGUUGUUCUUCAAGAAGAAGAUGCUGCCUACAUGACCCUGUCAUUGGCUUGCUCAAGGUUCAGGGACAUAGUUGGGGAUGAGCAUUAAGAAUCAGGCACACUUCUUAUGGCUAGAAAGUAAAUAUUGACAUUAAAAAAUAAAAUGCAUAACAACAACAUCAUUGAUAAUGUUAAAUGUUAUGUUUUUUUUCACCUCAGGUUACAUUCCGGAAAAAUAAGUUGUCUCACUA